UACGUAGGGGCAAGCGUUGUCCGGAAUCAUUGGGCGUAAAGAGCGUGUAGGCGGCCCGAUAAGUCCGCCGUGAAAGUCCAGGGCUCAACCCUGGAAUGCCGGUGGAAACUGUCGGGCUGGAGUCCGGAAGAGGCGAGUGGAAUUCCUGGUGUAGCGGUGAAAUGCGCAGAUAUCAGGAGGAACACCAACAGCGAAGGCAGCUCGCUGGGACGGUACUGACGCUGGAGGCGCGAAAGCGUGGGGAGCGAACAGG
rnacentral:rRNA from 1 species